ensembl:lncRNA
UCUGUUCAUGCGUUGUUUGCGGACCACAACCACAAUGUGACGAUGAGGGCGAUAAGAGGAUCACUCCAAUAAUGGCUCCGAUAAUGCUGCCUGUAGCAGACCCCUUCUCUUACCACUGGUGUCUCUGUGAAGGAGAGAGAGAGAGAGAGAGAGAGAGAGAGAGAGAGAGAGAGAGAGAGAGAGAGAGAGAGAGUGCAUGUAAAUAGCGAAAUCGUUGCACUCGACAGUAAAGUGUUAGUCACAGUAUAAAUUAUUCAGUAUCUACAUCAAGGAUAAUAGGGAAUGUGUGAAGAAUGAGGAAUGUGAGUCUAAACCUGUUGACACAUCCUGUGCGCUUAACAACUCGGGCUUCUUUCUUUGAAAUGAUUGAAAAUCUGAAAUAACUUUCAUUUUAACAACUUUAUUUUGUUCAGCCAAUGGCCAAAGUCUUCAAAUAAAACCAUAGUGUAGAAAAAGUCUCACUCCUCCACUUCGCCCAAGUAGAACUGAUUAGGUGUGUUGGUGUUUAUGAGGCUAUGGAUGUCCUGAUUAACUAAAUCUAGGGUGGCCAUACAGUACGUCCUCUUUUCCAGACCUUAAAAAAAGCUAUUUUUGAGAAAAAAGUCCAGGAUUCGGUUUUAGUUUCAUUAUGAUGUGCUUACGGUCUGAUACUGCAUCACGUGUGCGCAUAUUUACAUUGCUAUAACCCCUCUCUGUAAUUCCCGCCUUCUCGCACACCAGUUGGUUGAUUAUAAAAGGCUUGCAGCAACUACUGGCCAAAGUCCUGCCUCUCAACCGUUAGCCUCCUCUUAGCGAACGCGCAAAGUUAAAGCGCUGUUGUAUACAGCGUCAAACAGUUGUUUGACAAUAGCAGCAAAUGACAGCUGCGCUGAGCCGAAACAAUGCCCCUGGCCAUAUAAUGUCAUUUUUCAUUUCAUGUUAUCGCAAUGCUUCAUAUUCCUUAGACGUUCAAAUGUGUGAAUGACGGCAGAAGUUACACUCAUGGCAUCGAGUAUUUCGUUUUAUUCCAUGGACAUUCAAAAGAAUGGAGCAAAAAAAAAAAAAGAGGGAUGUGGGAAGAAAUCAGUUUUAUUUAUAUACAUAUUUACAUGAUGCUGAUAGAGUGUCUUUUUCAGUGUAGUAAAGUUUGCAUUCAUAGUAACACUGUUUUGAAUGCUAUUUUGCCUUGCACCUCCGGGGUUGGGGGUUUGAUUCCCGCCUCCGCCCUGUGUGCACGGAGCCUGAAUAUUCUCCCCGUGCUUCAGGGUCCAAAGACAUGUGUUGUAGGCUGAUUGGAACUUCCAGAUUGACUGUAGUGUGUGAAUGGGUGUAUGCGAUUGUGCCCUGCAAUGGGUUGGUACCCCAUCCAGGGUGGCCCCCGCCUUGUGCCCCACGUUCCCUGGGAUAGUCUCCAUGUGUGGGAUAAGCGGUUCAGAAAGUGGAUGGAUGGGUGGAUGAGAAGAUGGAUGGGUGGAUGGAUGGAUGAGUAGAUGGAUGGAUGGGUGGAUGAGUAGAUGGAUGGGUGGAUGGAUGGAUGAGUAGAUGGAUGGGUGGAUGGAUGAGUAGAUGGAUGGAUGGAUGGAUGGGUGGGUGGAUGGAUGGAUGGAUGGGUGGGUGGAUGGAUCAGUAGGUGGACUGGUGGAUGGAUGAGUAUAUGGAUGGAUGGAUGAUGGAUGAUUGAUUAGAUGGAUGGGUGGAUGGAUGGAUGGAUGGGUGGGUGGAUGGAUGAGUAGAUGGAUGGAUGGAUGGGUGGGUGGGUGGAUCAGUAGGUGGACUGGUGGAUGGAUGAGUAUAUGGAUGGAUGGAUGAUGGAUGGAUGAGUAGAUGGAUGGGUGGAUGGAUGGGUGGAUGGGUGGAUGGAUGGGUGGGUGGAUGGAUGGAUGGAUGCAUGGAUGAGUAGAUGGGUGGGUGGAUGUGUGGAUGAGUAGAUGGAUGGAUGAGUAGAUGGAUGGAUCAGUAGAUGGAUGGAUGGUUGAGCAGAUGGAUGAAUGGAUGAGUAGAUGAAUGGAUGGACGGACAGAUGUACAGAUGGAUGGACGGACGGAUUACACUAUUACAUCAUAAGUAAUUAUAAGCCAGCUUUUUUGUGUUUAUAGAGUUGUAACUUAGCUCAAGCAGUUGAAUAUUCAAGAGUGCUUGGAAAUGAUGUCAUGACAGUCCUGGGUAAUGCUAAAACCCCUAUAUGUUUUGGGGGCAGAGCUGUGUAUACAGGAUUGGAGGAGGAGAAAGGGGGUGAUCUCUCACGGAGUAAAAAUUUCAAUCUUAACUGACCUCCACCUAUUUAACCCGUAAAGACCUAAUCUUGCCACUUUUUGACACAUCUCACUUAAUGCACCUUUAAAGUGUUGCGAGAUGGACCGGUGUAAUCACUUUGUAAUCCACAAGGUGGCGAUAUUCUGCUAGGGCCAUUUAGCAGAACUACACUGACCUGCACGGUGAUCUGAAGCAUUGUGUUCCUGGAUAAAUGCUUCCUCUGAUUUCUCAGUCUAGUUGAAAACUGAAUGAUUGAUUGAUUUUUUUUUGCAAAUGAUUUCUCACGUCCAGGAUUUGAAGUGUGUUUGAUGCUGCAGCUGAGGUCAUGUAAAGGACAGAGCACGGAUGAUGUGGAAACUAUGCACCGAUAGCGUUCUCUCUCCCUGCCACCUUCCUUCCAGUGAUUUUACUGUGCGCGCUCGUCAUUGCAUCAGCUGUGUUGCCUCAGACGUGUGUCGCCUCACUGCUAUAAGAGACGAAGAGGCAGGGAGAGCGAGAGUUACGACAGAUACGUGGCCGACCAGAAAUACCUGCUUACAAAGACAAACCGUGUGACACGACGGCGAAGUGAUGGAAGAGAAAGGGAACAAAAGAGAGGCCCGGAAAUCCGCCGGAUUUUCUGGCAGAAAAGAAAAGAGCCUAAGCAUAAUAGCAUGAAGUGGAACAGCUGACUGAAUUUCACCCCUUUUUCCUUUCACAUAACUGCCCAUGAGCUCUCUCUCACACACUCGCUCGCACACAACCCACACGGCUGUCACGUCUCGGCGCUGUCAAUCAGACAUCGGUCUACCGCGUAUCGUGUCUCGGCCUGUCAAUCUCCCAGAACCCCCCUUAGCAUUCCUCUCUCUCUAUCCCUGUGUCUCUCUCCUGAUGAGGAGAACCCACGUUGCCACACACACACACACACUCAGUCAAAGCAAACUGUACAAUACAACACACACACACACACACACACACAUCUGAGAGGUGUGCAAGUCUGUGUGUGAGAAAGAAUGCAAGGCAUGUAUGAAAAGUGAAGGUCACUGGAGAUAAAAGCUGGAAUGGGGAAUAUGUGUAUGUGUGUGUGUGUGUGUGUGUGAAGAAAAUGGCAGAAUGAAAAAGUGCCAGAAUUCAAUACAUCCCUACCAAAAUCUUCAUCAUCAAAACAGCAUCUUCAUACAUCCAGACUGGAGUAUGAGCGUAUGAGCGUACUAUUUAUA